ACGCACCAUAACUACCGAGUGAUUAGCAUCACUCAGAAAAGUUUUUCUUUCCUUUUGGUAAUUUACUCCGAAAAGAGCAGUUUAAAACCACUGACAUUGCACUGUACACCAUGUGGCUGUGUGACAAAAAGGUUACAGAGGUCAAGAGAGCCAUGGACUCUUCUUUAAACGUGUGGAAACUACAUUUAAAACCACCACAAUGUAGCUACAAAGGACAGUUCAGGAGCACAGUGUGUUACAACAACACUUUCUGGAAACGACCCACUGAGGUCCAGGAUCAACGAUUUCAACUGAGCCACGUCUGACAGCAUCCACACACCUAGACAGACUCUGAUCACCUUCUCUGCUUCUCAAUCAUUGUUGGGACUGGAUGUUUAUGAUUAGCAGGUUGUUUAUGUUUCCUUGAGUAACAAAUGUAAGUGUUCAAAAGUUACAGUAGUCCUAAAUUGUAAAUCUGGAGUCUUGGGGGUCACAAAAAAUUCAUAAUGUCCAUUUGGGGCCAUUUGCCUAAAAUGUUUGGGAACCCCUGACCUAAGAUGACUCAAAAGGAAACCCAUCCUUUUCUGGUUGACAUUGGAUAGUGGGAUUAAAAAUGUUUACUUUUCCAGCGUUUACUCUUGUAUGCUAUACAGUAUAAUCAAACAGUAUUUAAUAUAUUGAAGGGAUGUUCAAUAUGAGCAUAAAGGUCUUUUAUGUUUACAGAGGUUUUUAGGUACAAGUCUACAGUAUCCAAGUGAAGUUACAUACUGAAAAGAGGGUUAAUCCUAUCCAUAAACUGUUUCUGAGUGCAAGCAGAGACUCCUGCAAGACUAGCUAUUACAGCAUAACUAAAAGGGAGCCAGAAGGUAACACAGACAUGAGGGCACCCUGGGACAUAAAGCGGCCAGCCACUCCAUCAUCAACAAACCUGAGUGAACGCGUGAGAGUGGGGGAGCGACAGCAUCCAAACAUCCCAGUUCACCACAAUACUAUAUGCCUGUGAACCCUCCAGAUCUGCUCCUUUACCUAAGAAAAAAACUAAUCCCAAAAGGCUUGACUAAACAAACAUGUUUUCAGCCUAGACUUAAACACUGAGACUUUAAACACUGAGGCGCCCUGAGUGCUCACCCGUGUGGCAAGGAAUGGAGAGGGUGUAGGGACGAAGGAUCUGGGAAGGAGAAGAUUGGACUGGAACCUGGACCCAGGGAAGAGGUUUAAGAGGAAGAGAGAGAGAGAGAAGCAAAGAGAGAGAGAGAGAGAGAAGGGGCUGCCAGCCUCUGCCACCAUGUGGUUCUCUGCCAGCUGGAUCGCCAUGUCCAACAUUACCUGUGGCACUGGACCGACUUUGAUUUUCCUGCUGGCAAUCACACGAUUGUCAGAUGAUCCUAGUCCACGAGAUCAUUGAUGUCUCCCCCUCAGUCAGCAGCCACCUGCAACAGGCAUCCCGUAGCUGUUGGGCAAACAAAAAGGGUUGGCUGCAUUCGCUGAGGGUCACAGCCUGGAACUGCUGACGGAAUAUUCACCUUCUUAAAAUCCUGGUACUCUAGCUGAUUUUUUACUGGGAACUGGUGCUCAACCAGCCGGGCUUCUCCUGAUAGCAAGGGAAGCAGUCUAACAUGACCCUGCGACUCAGGCCAUGCCCAUGUUACCUCAGCACACUCAAAGAGUUUGAUGAACACCUGGUUCAUCCUAGGACAAUAUCUUGGCCCCGUGCGGUGGGGCUAGUUGGAGUACUGGCGGGCUGCAGCUGGCUCCAGAGUGAGGGUCUUUGGCCUGUGCUGCCACCAGGGCCUUGAUGCUCUGGGCUUGCUCUGCAUGCAGGUUGAGGAUGGUCUGCUCCUGGCGUAAACUCGCGAGGGACUUCAGUUAGGAUAUCAGUUAGGGGCGAGGUCUCCAUGACGACGUAUUCUCCUCAAAUCUCAAAUUCUACUGGGUUUGCUACUGCUGUGACACCCUGGCUUUCAUGAGGAGAAUAAGGACUUGGGAGCCAGGCUUUGGAGAUAGCAAGAUGACUUUUUCUUUUACUGGCCUUGACCACAUCCCUGCCACCAGAUGGUAGUUUUCUACUGUGAUUAUUACUUAAUCUGUUCAUACUGAAUUUAAAGAAAACAUAAAUUUGGAAAUUACUGGAGAUUUCUAAACUGUACUGUUAUUGAAUAAAAAAAUGAAUUAUAGAAGGUUACUUUGGCCAACAUUAUAAUAUGUAGUCAAUUUUACUAUAAUGUGUACUGUGUUCAUACAAUAUUAGAAUAUGUUGGUGAUUUUUAAAAAUCCUGUUAUUUAAAUGUGAUUUAUUGAUGCUAUUAAUAAGUAAGCUAUAAAUAAACAAUGUUUUAAACAUGUAAUUGCAGAUGAAAGUAAAGGCCUAAACCAAUGAAAACAUGCUGUCCAAAAUUACCAAACACAUCAUUAAAAAAUGGCUUGACAAAAGCGUAUCUAAUGCUUAUUAAGAAUAUGAUGCAAACUUUUUUUUUUUCCCUUCAUAUCUAGAUACUCAACACCUUGAGUAUUUCAGAAAUGUACCAUGUAGAAUGUUUAAUGGCAAGAAAACUUAGACGAUAUGGAAAUUCAAAAAGUGUCCCAAUAUAUCAGAAUUCAGCCUACUAAAUAUGCAUAUACACUCGGGUCCAUAAGUAUUUGGACAGUGACACAAUUUUCGUAAUUUUGCCUCUGUACACCAUCACUAACAAAAAAUAUUCCAUUAACCAUUUAGGAAUUACAGCCAUGUUUAACAUAGUCCCUCCAAAAGUAAUCAGACAAUUGACUGAUAAGCAGUUUCAUGGCCAAAUGUUGCCUGUUUCUUCAUUAUUUCAUAAUAAAUUAAGAAGAUAAAAGGUCUGGAGUUGAUUCCAAGUGUUGAAUUUACAUUUGGUAGCUGUUCAUGGGAACUCUCAAUAUGUGGUCCAAAGAGGUGUCAAUGCAAGUGAAGGAGGCCUUCAUUGGGCUGAAAAAAAACAAAACAGACCUAUCAGAGAGAUAGGAGAAACUUUAGGAGUGGCCAAAUCAACAAUUUUGUACAUUAUUAAAAAUAAGGAAGGCACUGGCAAGCUCAGCAACACCAAAGGCUUGGAAGACCACAGAAGACAACUAAAGUGGAUGCUCACAGAAUUCUUUCCUUGGUGAAGAAAAACCCCUUCACAACAUCCAGCUACGUCAAGAACACUCUCAAAGAGGUAGGUGUAUCAUUGUCAAAGUCUACAAGCAAGAGACACCUUCAUGAAUGUAAAUACAGAGAGUUUACCCCAAGAUGCAAACCACUGGUAACACUCAAGAACAGAAAGACCAGUUUAGACUUUGCUAGAAAACAUCUAAAAAAAAAAAAGCCUGCCUAGUUCUGGAACAAGAUUCUUUGUAUAGAUGAAACCAAGAUUAACUUGUACCAGAAUGAUGGGAAGAGAAGAGUAUAGAGAAGGAAAGGAAGGGCUUAUGAUCCAAAGCAUAACACAUCAUCUGUCAAACAUAGUAGAGGCAGUGUUAUGGCAUGUAUGACUGCCAAUGGAACUGGGUCACUGGUGUUUAUUGGUGAUGUGACUGCUGAUAGAAGUAGCAGGAUGAAUUCUGAAGUGUAUA